CCAUUAAUCCUUACAGCCAGCACAAGGGGAGGCUCUGCCGGGAGCUGGCCAGUCCUCAGUGCCCAUUCGGACGACUCCCAAGUUUGGAGAACUAGCUUUGAGCGCUGCCCCCAGCUCUGAACCACCGAGGGAGGGAGGGAAGAGCCCAGGCUGGGAGACGGAAGCCGGGAAGGGUGGGCUUCUUUUAUCCCCUCGGCACCUGUCUUGGCGUCUUUGGGUGACUUCUCAACAGGUGGCCUCUGCUCACUAGUGUCCCCCUGCUCGACUCUAAGCCAAUGGAAAGCACGGGAGUUCGUACCUUGCUCUGUGCAGAAGACAAGACUUGGGAGGGGAUUCAUUAACACGGUACCCUAAGUGGCCUUUAGCACCAGGCUUAUCACUGAGCUGCACGUUACACGGCCCCGGGACCCUUUAAAACCGUGGAAGGGAACCCGGGGCCCGUCUCACAUGUGGGAAGUCAGGGUCUCUAGGCGAGGCCUUGAACUGAGCAAUUUUACAGCCCCCAGGAGACACAGCCGGAGCUGAGAGCCUGGUUAACCCUUCGCUAUACUGAAACAUCUUCCAUCGAGGCAGGCCGAGAGGCUGAGAAGCUGAAAGGAUCUCAGUGUCCAGAGGGAAUCUCUAAGACUGCUAGUUUCCAGGUGAAACCCUAUCCUAAGCGUGGCUGCCUCCUGGCUCUCGAGUUCAGCUGUCUCCUCGGUGGGCUUCCUGGUCAGGACCCCCAGCAUCUUCCCGAGUCCUGGCCUCUGCCUCGUUACCUGGCAUCUCCUGCUCUGACCGUGAGCCCCUUCUCCACUUCCCUCUUGCCUUCCUGGCUUACCCCCCCCACUCCCCCAUAAGCCAGGAGCACUGUCCUCCCAGACACUGGUCCAUCGUCUGGUGCUGGCGCAGAACCCAAG
rnacentral:lncRNA from 1 species